AAGAAAUUGACUCAGUAUAUAAUUUAAGACAAAAUCCAUUUCAGAAAAAAACAUCUCCUAAGUACUUUAUUUAUUUUUAUCUUAACUACAGAAAUAAGAAACGGUUUUAGAGAAGCAACUUGACCAGUUCUAAAUAAAAGAAAAAAAAAAUUAAUACCUUUAGAAUAUAACUCUGGUGUCCUACCUCAAAACUCAAUAACAAUCACAUUAUAGCCCUGUCGGAGAUACAUGUAUAAGAAAAACAGCGAUGUUUGAUGGUGCAAAGACUUUUGAAAAUCCCAGGGGACGUGCAUCUUUGACUGCAGAACCCUAAAAAGAAUUAGGCUAUUUGUAAGUCCUACAGUAUUCCGGCAGAACUUGAAUUAAAAAGCGUUUGUCCCCCGGUUCCCGGACUUCCAUCUGAAUCAUCGCCGUCAUGUGUUUAGCGGGAAAGUAUUUUUUCUAGGAACCAUUUAGGUCUUUCAUCGUUGGUAUGGUGUUGGAAAACAAAACGACUGAAUUUUUAAUCAGUGUAAUAUUGAUUUUAAGUAAAUUCUUUAUCCAUAACUGUAAGUGUAUGAAAACAAAACCUUACUUUUAUUUUUUUAAUUUUUUUCUCUGUGUUUAAAAGAGAUUUGUUUGUAGUUAUUUUCCAUAAUUUAAAUGUAUGAAUAAUAAACAGGCCUGCAAAUUUGCUGGGAGGUUAAGAGUCUUUGGCUCAUUGGAAGAUGAAUGAAAAGACCCCUGUGUUGUUCCCUUUUUCCACUGAUGGAUGGAAGUUCAAAAGGUUGAAAGUUUUAAAUGUUGAGCUCUUUAUACAGAUGUAAAAGAUGCACAUUCUAUAUUAAAAUGGUUUUUAACCUAAAAAAAAUGAGUAGGGAUUUUGACUAAUGUGUUUAUAAUUAUAUACACUCACAUGAGAUAAAGAUAAUUAUUUUUUAUAUACAGUAUAUUCUCCAUUUACUGUCCUCCAGAAGCUACAAAAGAUACUUAGGCCUGCAUGUUUCCCACAAGAUAAAAAAGCACGCAAAAUAUGAGGGGUCCCCCCACUCUAUAUAAAGCAGUGCUUCUACGUCAUCCAUUCAGAAUCUUUACUGAAGCACUUGGCAUUCUAAGAUCCUGAGCUUGGUGACACGGCAAUAAGAGCAAUGUCUCAAUCCCUCAUCUCAGGAAACCGAGGUUACGUGAGUAACCGAGAAAGUUCCCUUUCGAUUCGGUCACUCUACAUUGCUAUGGGAAUGUAUAAAAUUCCGCCGUGUCACAGCAAUGGUGCCUGGCUCGACUUAAGUAUGUCAAGUUUCACAUACUAUAUAACUAUAUAGAGCGCUUUGUAUAAAUGCGCACUGCACGUACAGGGCACAGCAAAAGUGUAUUAAGCGGUUCCGUCCUGGCCAGUUUCGCGACGGAAAGCAGAUAGUGUUAUGACCUGCGCUUUAAAUGGAGUCGAAAGCACUUUAGGCACAUAACCCUUUCUAGGCUUUAUGUUGAGCCUGUAAUCACCUGUCCCGAACUCAAUACACGAGUUGUCAAUUGACAGUGCCUGCAGAGAGAGCGCACACAAGCUCGCUGAUUGUAUGAGCUCGAACGGGCCUUUUAUUUUAUUUUUUAUUUUUUAGGCUCUUGAAGGAAGGCAAGAAUUAUUGGCAUUGGGUAGCUGAAUGGGUCUUCGCCCCACGACCCGUACCAAUUUAUGAAAACUCUCCUCAGACAUAGUGUUCAACACGUGCUGAGGAAGUGGAUCUGUUACAGGCCAGCCCCGUCAAGCGGCCAGACAUGAAGAAGGCUCCAUGACUCUGGAUUUGGAUGCUAUAACGUUAACUUCAGAGAGGAGGCACAGUUCCAUGCAUGCAUGUAAACGUACAAGGGGCCGGGGAUAAACCAAAGAGUAGGACCGUGAAUUGGUAUGCCAUCCCCUCAAAUGCAAAUCUCAGGAAAUGCCUGUGGUGAGGGGCUACCUGAAUGUGAAAAUGAGCAUUUUUUAAAUCCACAGAGAUAAACCAAUCUCUCAGUCUGAUGUGUGAGAGGAUUUGUCUCAGCGUAAUCAUUUUGAACGAGCGCUUGGAAAUCGCGCGAUUCAGCGUUCUCAGGUCCAAGAUUGGGCAGUGUCCGCCAUCUUUCUUUGGUACCAGAAAAUAGUGACUGUAGAAGCCACUCUUGCGGUCUGCUAGGAGCACUGUCUAUACAGCGCAUUUUGUCAUGAUUCAAUAAGGCUUCAGUAGUAAUUGGAGAAAAGGGUAAUUCCCAUGGCAAUGUAGAGUGACCGAAUCGAAAGGGAAAGCACAAUUUACCCUGGUCAUCCAAUUCAAAAAUGUAUCUUAAUACAUUGUGUAUUUACUCUUUGAUUUGAAUGGAAACAAAGCACAUCCUUGUGGCACAGCUGACACAGAAUAGCGUAUGCAGUUUGCGUACAGAGGAUGUUCUCUAGAAUGGCGCUACGGUGAUGUGGAGAGACACAGAGGAGACAAAUUGUUGAAUAAAGUCGUUAUUUUUGUUUUCAUUGCAUACAAAAAGUAUUUGCGUCACUUCAUAAAAUUCAAAUUGAACCACUGAUGGCAGAUGCAGUAUUCUGACAAUGUCUUUCAUACUUUUCUGGACCUUGACAGUAACAUAAGGAAUCAGAAGUACGCUGAUGAACGAGAUCCAGGAAAACUAUGGCAGCCCAACGGAGAUCCGAUUUUGAAACUUGCUCAACUGGCUUUCAAACAGCUGAAAAAAGGCAAUAUCAUGUUCUAUGAGGAGGAUCUGAAAGAGUACGACAUAGAUGUAAUUGAUGCCUCAGUGUAUUCUGGGAUUUGCACAGAGAUAUUUAUGGAGGAAUCUGUGAUUCAUCAGAGGAAAGUCUACUGCUUCAUACAUCUGAGCUUUCAGGAGUUUCUUGCUGCUAUUUUUGUUUUUUUAUUGUUAUGUAAUUAACACUAUGGCGGUACUAAUGUUUUUUGAUUCUCUGCAUAAUUUGCUCAGAGGAGCAGUAGAUGAAACCUUAGAAUGGACACCUGGAUAUUUUCCUCCGGUUCCUGCAGGGCAUCUCACUGGACUCCAACCAGAAACUCUUACAGGAUCUACUGACCAACACUCACAGCUGUUCAAGGAGCAUUGAGAAAACAACUGCUUAUAUUAAAAACAAAAUUAAACAUGGAUAUGAUCUUUCAACUGAAAGAUCUAUCAGUCUUUUUCUUUGUCUCUUUGAAAUGAAAGACCAGACUAUGUACAGAGAGAUCCAGGAGUUUCUGAAAUCAGACAAACACUCAGAAAAUAAACUCUCUUCUGCAAUUUGCUCAACAAUCGCUUACAUGUAUCAGAUGUCAGAAGAGGUGCUGGAAGAACUUGAUCCCAAUAAAUUUAAUACAUCAGAAGAAGGUUGAAGAAAACUCUUACCAUUUGAGAAAAAAUUCUUCUUUAACUUAAGCUAAUGAAUGCUGCGUCUUAUAUUUGAACUACCUUAUGCAGAUGUUUGUAGAUCUAUUUUAAAUUUUUUUUUUUUGGCUUUCUUAUAGUCUUGCUGACUGUAAUCUCACUGAUAAAUCCUGUGAAAUUGUGGUCUCAGCUCUACAAUCAUCAAACUCUGUCCUGAGAGAGCUGGACAUGAGUAACAGUGACUUGCAGGAUUCAGGAGUAAAGCUUCUGAUGGACUGAAGAGAUCAAACUGUCAACUAGAGAAACUGAGAUUGUCUAGCUGUAUGGUGACAGAGGAAGGCUGUUAUUGUCUGGCCUUAGCUCUUGAGUUCCAACCCCUCACACCUGAGAGAGCUGGAUCUCAGCUACUGGAAACUCCUGAGUAAAGAUGCUCUCUGAUAGACUGAACCAUCCAAACUGCAAACUGGAGAUACUUAAUUUUUUCCAUGGAGAGUCCUUCAAAAUCACACCAGGACUGCCGAAAUAUGCCUGUGACCUCACAUUAGAUCGAAACACAGUAAACACUCAUCUCAUUCCAUCUGAGAACAACAAAAAGGCAACAUAUUUGGAAGAGGAGCAGCCAUAUCCUGAUCAUCCAAAGAUUUGAGCAGGUUAUGUGUAGAGAGAGCCUGACUGGACACUGCACCCUCAUUCUGUUCUAACAUAAUAGGAGUGUAUCUAGAUCAGGCAGCUGGCUCUGUCUUUUUACAAUGUUUCCUCUGAAACUGGCAAAAUGACCCAAUUUACACCAUCAACUCAACAUUUACUGAGCCCCUGUAUGCAGGAUUUGUUGUUGGGUUGACCAUGGAUCAUGGAUGUGUUUAUGUUAAGUACAGAAGCUGUGAAGAAUGUGUCAGACACACCUGAACCAGCUAAUCAAGGUCUUCAGGAUUACUUGAAAACAAAAGUUAGGUGUGUUGGAGCAGGCUUGAGUUGAACUCUGCCGGACUGUGACCCUCCAGGAGCAGAGUUUCACACCCAUGUGCUAAAAUAUGCUUAAAUUAUUUAUUUAUUAUGUUGGUGUGAUAUGUCUGUAAGUGACAUCACAUUAUUAAAACUAUGUUUUAUUUAAAAUAGCUAAUUUUAGAGUGAGUUUAAUGUGCUUUUCUCCCAGUGUGUAACUUACGUAUGACUGUUAUAUACUUUUCUGUAAAUAACUGUGUGUGUAUAUAAAUGCUUGUAUAUAAAUGCUUGUAUUUCCGUUUUGCAUAUCAGGUGAUCAUGACAGUAAGCGAGCUAAAUAUUGUUUAAUAUAAGCAUGUCAAACAGAAAUCACAGUCAUUACAGUUAUUUUAACUAUUUGUUGUUGGAGGUUACAUUUAUUUAUAUUUAAUUGCAAUAGUAUUGUAAGAAAAAAUAAGUGUUUUAAAAUUACAGAGAAA